GCAUCACAAAUAUAUGCAUGUGAAAGGCAAGACACGUCUUCUCAGAGAUAGUGUGUCAAGAAAUUCUGGAGAGAAAGAGAAAUAAUCCAGAAAGGAUGACAGUAUCAGGUGCAUGAAUAUUGCUCUCUCACCGAAGACAAUCUUGGUGCAUGUCCAGAGGCCACUACUGAAAAUGAUGAGAAAAAGAGAGAGAGAGCUCGAAGUGGCUUCUGUCACCUCAGUGAACACCUGUGGGCUUUCUUAUUAAAUAAAAAUAAAAUGAAC
rnacentral:lncRNA from 11 species